rnacentral:rRNA from 1 species
AGGACGAACGCUGGCGGCGCGCUUAACACAUGCAAGUCGAGCGAGAACCAGUCCUUCGGGACUGGGGACAGCGGCGAACGGGUGAGUAACACGUGGGUAAUCUGCCCUCGAUUCUGGGAUAGCCCGGGGAAAACCCGGAUUAAUACCGGAUAGCCUCUCGAGCUUACGAGCUCUUGAGAAAAGGUAGCUUCGGCCUCGAUCGAGGAUGAGCCCGCGGCGGAUUAGCUUGUUGGUGGGGUAAUGGCCUACCAAGGCUUCGAUCGGUA